AUUGAACGCUGGCGGCAGGCCUAACACAUGCAAGUCGAGCGAGCGGCGGACGGGUGAGUAAUGUCUGGGAAACUUCCUGCUGGCGGGGGAUAACUACUUGAAACGGUAGCUAAUACCGCAUACCAUCAGAUGUGCCCAGAUGGGAUUAGCUAGUAGGUGGGGUAACGGCUCACCUAGGCGACGAUCCCUAGCUGGUCUGAGAGGAUGACCAGCAACACGGGAACGGAGACAAGGUCCAGACUCCUACGGGAGGCAGGAGUGGGGAAUAUUGCACAAGGGGCGCAAGCCUGAUGCAGGCAUGCCGGGUGUGUGAAGAAGGCCUUCGGGUUGUAAAGCACGUUCAGCGGGGAGGCGUUACCCGCAGAAGAAGCACCGGCUAACUCCGUGCCAGCAGCCGCGGUAAUUC
rnacentral:rRNA from 1 species